GCGAGCCACGCGAUCGCGGGGAGGUAGCUCCUCGAGGAAAGUCCGGACACCGAAGGGCGAGGUGGUGGGUAACGCCCACCCGGGGAAACCCGCGGGAAAGUGCCACAGAAACACACAGCCGAUGGCCCCAUCUUCGGAUGGCGCACAGGCAACGGUGAAAUGGUGCGGUAAGAGCGCACCGGCGUCGCGGUGACGCGGCGGCCGGGCAAACCCCACCCGGUGCAAGGCCAAGCAGGACCGAUGACCCGGCCCGGCGAGGUCCAGGUAGGCCGCAGGACCACGGUGAACGUGGUCCCCACGGGGCUCAGGCCCCGCGGAGAUGGAUGAUCGCGCCAGACAGGAUCCGGCUUACAGGCUCGCUAAA
rnacentral:RNase_P_RNA from 1 species